rnacentral:rRNA from 1 species
GUGAGUUACUGACAGAAGAAGCACCGCUAACUCCGUGCCAGCAGCCGCGGUAAUACGGAGGGUGCGAGCGUUAAUCGGAAUUACUGGGCGUAAAGCGUACGCAGGCGGUUUGUUAAGCGAGAUGUGAAAGCCCCGGGCUCAACCUGGGAACUGCAUUUCGAACUGGCAAACUAGAGUGUGAUAGAGGGUGGUAGAAUUUCAGGUGUAGCGGUGAAAUGCGUAGAGAUCUGAAGGAAUACCGAUGGCGAAGGCAGCCACCUGGGUCAACACACUGACGCUCAUGU